rfam:Oryza glaberrima chromosome 1 Oglab01_0024_13, whole genome shotgun sequence.
GUUUUGCGUUGUUUAUGUUCAACAUUUGACUAUCUGUCUUACUUAAAAGAAAUUGUUAUGAUUAGUAUUUUUAUUUAUUACUAGAUGAUAAAAUAUGAAUAAUGCUUUAUGUGAGACUAUCUUUUUUUUUAUUAUUUUUUCAUAUAUUUUUUUAAAUAAGACGUACAGUUAAACGUUGGACACAGAAAAUCAUAACUGCACUUAAA